AUUUCCUCCCCCAGAUCAAUUAGUCCAUCAACCAUAGAUUGAGACUCAAAGUUUCAGGUCAUGGGCAAAUUGCAGACAAGUUCUUUGCUGUCAUGUGACUGUAUCUAAUGUGACUUGUCUCUAAUCCACUUCCUAAGAGUCCUCAUUACCAUCUGCAACCUCAUGAGCAUAGACUUUUUACUGUUCAUAUUGUUAUCAACAUUCUGGUCUUCUCAGCUCCCAUCAGAAUUACCUAAUAAGCUUUGCUUUUAACAUUCUAAGUUUUCUCCAGCCUGCAUCUCCAAACUUAUCAAACUCCUGCCACAAACCAGUUCAAAAUGCUUCUGAACUACAUGGUCAGAUUACUCACAGCAACAACCCUACUUUUCAGUAUCAAUUUGUAUGUUAGUCAGCUUUUCAUCUCUGUGACCAAAGUACCUGACAACAGUUACUUAACAAAGAAAGAAUUUAUUCUCAGUUUAUAGUUUUAAGGACUAAACCUGAGUUGGUGAGCCUAAAAUAAGUUUUUCUUUGCGAAUUCUCAGUUAACAUAUAAUUUUAAGUGCCUAACUAAUUUUAGAAAUGAAAUUUUAAGCACCUAAUUUUAGAAAUGUAAGACAAUGAUUUCAUGCUUCAACAUUUACUAUUAUAGACUCAGUUGUUAUUUUAGUGUUAUCAAAAUAAUUUUCUUUCUGUAUGUGUUUAAGGUAUUUUGCUUUUGUUUUUUGGUGUGUGUGUUUUAUCAGAGCCUGAAUAUAGGUUUCCUUUGUGUAUAUACUCAGGGAGUUUGCCAAGAUUUACAUUUGUGUUUUGAUUUCUCUAAUCAAUUUUAGGUACCUUUGAGUUAUUAAUUUUUCAGUUAUUACUUUUGUCAAUUCUCCCUCCUUUGAAACUCCAGUUAUUCAUAUGUUGUGUCACUUAACUCUACAUGACACAUUUUGUUUUUACUCUGUUUGAUUUGUUCUUGUUUAUGCACUUUAGCCUUUCUGUAUUUCACUUGUGGCAUUUCUACAUUAGACUUUCUUCAAGUUUAAUAUAUUUCCCUCUGUGUCCACAUGACUCAUAAGACAUUAUUUCACAUAUUUUUCUGUAGUUUCAGA
rnacentral:lncRNA from 1 species